rnacentral:rRNA from 1 species
GCUGUGCUUGUCGAUGCCCAAUUUCGUCAGAUCUUGGAAGCUAAGGAAGGCUGGCCCUGGUUACUACUUGGAUGGGAAACCACUGGGAAUACCAGGUAAGACAGCA